rnacentral:rRNA from 1 species
UACAGAGGUCUCAAGCGUUGUUCGGAUUCAUUGGGCGUAAAGGGUGCGUAGGCGGCGCGGUAAGUCGGGUGUGAAAUCUCGGAGCUUAACUCCGAAACUGCAUUCGAUACUGGCGUGCUUGAGGACUGGAGAGGAGACUGGAAUUUACGGUGUAGCGGUGAAAUGCGUAGAUAUCGGGAGGAACACCAGUGGCGAAGGCGACUUCCUGGACAGUUCUUGACGCUGAGGCACGAAAGCUAGGGGAGCAAACGGG